ensembl:lncRNA
GGAUGGGGCAUGAAGAACAGCCAUUCUGAGCCACGGAUGUGGAACAGAACCAGGGCUGGGAGGAACGAGGUCCCCAGUAGGGAGAACGAGUGUGGAAACGUCGGCAACGACAGGGUGUGGAACCCUCCCGAGGAGAGAGAUCAGGGGAGCUGAAGGAGGCGCAGAGGUGGAGGGGCCUAACCUCGAGCAGGGCUGAACUCUGCAACUCUCACCCAGAUGCGCCUCGGUGUGGAAUGCAGCCGGGAACCGCUGGGGACCAGGGAGUCAGCCAUUCCUGAGAGGCACGCGGCCCACCCUGAGCAUGGGCACCGUGUCCUGAGGUCAGCCGGUCCCAGCAGAUCUGCAUGCAGGGCCCGGUGAUUCAAUUAGCGUGACUUCAGUUGUUCUUUUUCAGGUCAGUUUUCUCUUCUUUUGUUUAGACCUGACUCAAGAUUAACUUCAAUUACCUACACGUCUGCUAGAGCACCUCAACAAAUUAAAACUGCUGAAAGUGAUGAAGGAGAGGAAGGACCUGGGUCUCUGGAGAAACAAAUGGUCUCCUCCCUCCCCCACCAUCAUCUCUGUUCUCUUAAAUUACUCAACUAAACAAGCAACUGUUUCUCACAGGAAAACUCGAGACUCUGAGUCUGAAUGUGAAAACCCCGUGGUUAAGCCCUGGCUUGCAGAAAACUAAAAACUUCAGUGACUCUGGAAUGAGAUGUUAUGUUCAGAGCUAUACGAAGCGCUGCAGCUGUUCUCAGCCAACAUGGAAACCGAAAAGGGUGAUGCUAUCUUUAUCCUCUACCUACGGCCAAAGCUGAUCCCAUCCUGGGCAGGAGUCAGCUCAGUUCUAGGCUGCUGAGCCCAAGAGACAAGAAGGGAAAGGAAAGCAGGGGCUGGCAGGGCACACCUCAGCAACAACACACAACAGACCCACCGGGAAGAAAGAACAUGCAGUUAAUCAUUAAAAAUUUGAAAAGGAUGCAAGGAAAUGGAACCGCCUGAAAAGCUGUUUCUAAACGCCAUUUGGAAAACCUGUGUCAAUCGGGUCAAAAUUCAAAAGACUGGAUCGCAUCUGACUUGACCUGAAUUUCCCAAGUGGAAAGAGAACCCUUUUAUCCAUUUUCUUGGAAGAAAAAAAAACAUACUUCCCUAUGCAAACUCAGACAGCGUCUUCAGACCACCUCAUGGAGUCAGGCCCUAGAUGAGCAUCUCAGAGAGGGCAGAUGAUGAGGGAAAAUGAGCCCAAUCAGGAGGGAAGGUGCUGGGAACGGGGAUUCAUCCCAGCCCGGAGCUGGCACACAGGCUGACUGAAGAGCACGUUCCCCGGUGCAACGGCACCGCCUCACUCUGAGCAAACGUCUCCCCCGCCACUCCUGGCCGUGCACCCCCAGCCCCAGCCGGCCUGUCGGCAAUGCAACCACCAACGAAUGGAACUGUGGCGAGGGGCUUGGCGCGGUGUGAUCUGUCACUGACACACCACGCUUCCUGCUCAUGCCGCCGGCCCAUCUUCAUUCAAGAGACAGCAACAAAACGGCCGUGGGGUGGCCAGCAAGCAGGACGGCACAGGGGCUGGCGAAGGAGCGGACUUGGGAGCCACGCUGCCCAGGUUCAAAUCUGGCCUCUUCCCCUUGCCUGCUGUGGCGGAACCACCCUCAGCUGCAGAACCUCUAUCGGCCUUGGUUUUCUUAAGACGACAGUAACGCCUAUUUCACGUGGCGGCUGCGAGACCGAGGAGUUACCCGGGAAAGUGCUUAAACAGAGUCUGAAGACUUCCCUGGUGGUUCAGUGGUUAAAAGACUCUGUGCUCCCAAUGCAUGGGGCAUGGGUUCAAUCCCUGGUCAGGGAACUAAGAUCCUGCAUGCUGCACCGUGUGGCCAAAAAAAUAAAAGAAUACACACAGUCUUGGGGAGAAAGCAUCAAUUCCCCCAUGCGCAUCAGGACUUCAGAGCUGAUCUGCUAACUAGCAGCCCAACAGGCCCUGAAGACAUUCCGUUCACCCAGGGCCGUGCUUCUCAAACGUUAACACGCUUCCAGAAAGCUCACUGAAACAGAUCUGGGCCCCACCUCUGGUUUCUCACUGGAAGGUCUGGGGUAGGGCCUAACCAUCUGUGUUUCCAACAAGCUCCCAGGUGAUGCUGCCGCUCUGAGCCUCACACUUUGAGGACCACGGCUCUGUGGACCACUUGACUCCUUGUGUUCUAUGCUUCAGGCCUAAGCCUUGGUUUGUCUAUCUGCGCAGGGAGCCUGGAUGAGACAACCCAAGGAGAAGGGCAACGUGGCUCACUGCACGGAGAAGGCCCGAGGGUCCCUCCACACCGCCCAGCACCCUGCGCCUCCACACCCUGCAGGUGGUGUCCCGGAGCUGGCCUGCCCGCGGUGGGUGCCGUGCGGACACCAUCUCAACCGAGCCAGCACGAGGGGCUGUAGGUCUGCACAGGCCAUCGCAGAGGAGACCAAACCCUUCCACCCCCGCCACACCCUUCCCUCCCGCAGCCCUCUCUGCGCUGUCCACACCCCAAAGGCCAGCCCGAGACCCGCUCCUUGCUUCUGGAGAAGUACUGGGUUUUACUGCUUUUCCAUCUGCUCACAGCGCGGUGAAUCAACGUAUGAUUAAUCAAGCCUUUUUGGGUGAUGACUCAGGAUCACUAUGAUGAACAGCAUCACACAAGGCGCCUGUGGGAACCACGCAACAGCCUUCCUCCUCCAGCACUGCUCCUACGCCAGCCGGGCCUCGGCCGGCCACGCGUCCCGUCUUUUUAACUGAAACUGUUACUGAGAGCAUGUGGGUACAGAGGCAGCUGUAAGAAACAGCACAGAAGGCGCCUCUGUUCACU